rnacentral:rRNA from 1 species
GACGAACGCUGGCGGCGUGCCUAAUACAUGCAAGUCGAGCGGACUUUCAAGAAGCUUGCUUUUUGAAAGUUAGCGGCGGACGGGUGAGUAACACGUGGGCAACCUGCCUGCAAGACGGGGAUAACUCCAGGAAACCGGGGCUAAUACCGGAUAAUAUCUUCCUUCGCAUGAAGGAAGGUUGAAAGGCGGCGCAAGCUGCCGCUUGCAGAUGGGCCCGCGGCGCAUUAGCUAGUUGGUGAGGUAACGGCUCACCAAGGCGACGAUGCGUAGCCGACCUGAGAGGGUGAUCGGCCACACUGGGACUGAGACACGGCCCAGACUCCUACGGGAGGCAGCAGUAGGGAAUCUUCCGCAAUGGACGAAAGUCUGACGGAGCAACGCCGCGUGAGCGAAGAAGGUCUUCGGAUCGUAAAGCUCUGUUGUCAGGGAAGAACAAGUACCGUUCGAACAGGGCGGUACCUUGACGGUACCUGACCAGAAAGCCACGGCUAACUACGUG